rnacentral:rRNA from 1 species
UACGUAGGGGGCAAGCGUUGUCCGGAAUCAUUGGGCGUAAAGCGCGUGUAGGCGGUUCGGUAAGUCGGCUGUGAAAGUCCAGGGCUCAACCCUGGGAUGCCGGUCGAUACUGCCGGACUAGAGUUCGGAAGAGGCGAGUGGAAUUCCCGGUGUAGCGGUGAAAUGCGCAGAUAUCGGGAGGAACACCAGUGGCGAAGGCGACUACUUGGCCCAUUCUUGACGCUGAGGCGCGAAAGCUAGGGGAGCGAACGGG